rnacentral:lncRNA from 1 species
AUACCGACUACGGGGACUCCGAUGAUUUAUGAAGCAUUCAUAGUGAAGAGGAAGGCAAUAGAGCUUCAAGAAGGAGGGCUUCCAAUGAUACUUUCAAUGUGGGGACAGAUAUGGAGGAUCCAGUGUUCAAAACAGCUAACUUGAAUAUUAUUCUUUACUUCAAAUUUAAACUUGCCUAUGUACUUUAGUGUCAUGAGGUCUAAUAUGUAUUGAAUUUUUUUGAUUAUGCAGGCUUGAUAUUUGAGUCGAAGGCCGUACUAAAGGCUGCAAUCACCUCACAUUCAGUUACAAACAAUAGAGAGAUUAAGUUCAAAAAGGAUGAUGCUCAUAGAUUGAGAGCCAAGUGUAAGGGAGAUUGUCCGUGGGUGUUGUAUGCUACAAAGGAACAUGGUAGGGCAAGUUGGAUGAUCAAAACUUUUGUGGAGGAGCAUACUUGUCCCACGGUAUACAAGAACUUCAGGGUGACCUCAUCCUAUUUGACAUAUAGAUAUUUAGCUUAUUGGAGGGCUGAGCAAAACAUGUCAGUUACUGUAGUCAUGGAGAGGGUUAAGCAAGAUGGUUUAGGUGAUAUCUCAGCCUGACAGGCAUAUAGAUCGAAGGAGAAGGCGCUCGAAAAAAUUAGAGGGAGUGUGGUGGAGCAUUACAAAUUCAUGUGGGAUUAUUGUGAGGAGUUCAAGAGGACAAAUAUUGGGACCACUGCAUUGGUUGAGGGGCACGCUGGAGAAUUUCGACGGUUGUAUAUUUGCAUUGGGGCAUUGAGAGAUGGUUUUAUUCGAGGUUGCAGAAGGGUGAUUGGGGUAGAUGGCUGCUUUUCGAAGACAGAGCUUGGUGGCCAAUUGUUGACAGCAGUUGGUGUUGAUGCGAAUAAUGGUAUGUAUCCGGUGGCAUAUGCAGUUGUGGAGGUUGAAAAUGGGGAUAAUUGGAAAUGAUUUUUGGAGUUAUUGAAGGAUGAUUUGCACAUACAUAACAGUCAACAUUGGAUAUUCAUUUCAGAUAAGCAAAAGGGAUUGACAAAUGCAGUUGGGACAUUGUUUGAGAAUUCGGAGCAUACGACGUGUGUCAGACAUCUAUACAACAAUUUCAGCAUUUGUCACAAGGGUUUAGCAUUGAAGAACUAUUUGUGGGAUGCAGCCAGGGCCACUACUAUAUCGCAGUGGCGUCAGCACAUGCAACGGAUGAUGGACUUGGACCCGGCUGCUUAUGGAUGGGUUGAAGAAAAACCAGCUUCCCAUUGGAGUAAAUCCCACUUUAGAGAGUGAAAUCAGUGUGACAUGCUUCUGAACAACUUAUGUGAAUCAUUUAAUAGCACAAUUGUGGUUGCAAGAGAGAAGCCAAUCUUAACCAUGCUCGAGGAUAUCAGGGUAUAUUUGAUGAGGAGAAUUGUGGCCCGUAGAGAGUCUUGUGAUAGGUGGACAACAACAGUUGGACCUAGAAUUCAGAAGAUUUUGGACAAAAAUGGUAAACUUGCAAGGUUUGAGUGGGCUGAGUAUGUAGGCAAUGAAAAGUUCCAAGUUCACCACAAUGCAGGGUUUGUGCUACAUGUUGUGGAUUUAAGGGCACGAACUUGUACAUGUCGUGGUUGGCAAUUAUCAGGAAUUGCAUGUAGUCAUGUCAUUGCCUCAGUUGUAUCUAGAGGCCUGAACGUGUUGGAGUUCGUGGAUGACAUCUAUAAGAAGGAUGCAUACAUGAGAACAUAUACGCCAUCAAUAUCUCCCAUCACAGGUCCGGACGCAUGGCCUACCCCAGGUUUGAACCCUCUCACUCCACUGGUGUACACGAAGAGGCCUGAGAGGCCAAAGAAAAAUAGAAGAAAAGAGCCGAAUGAGAUGGCUUCUUCAAAUCAGCCGAAGAGGUCCGCGCAGUCCAAAAGCAAUUCCAAUACUUCACAAUCAACUUCAGGAACAACGGAAGGUCAAUGAAAAAGAUCGGAGCUAAUAAUGACAUGUUCGAAGUGCGAUGAAGUAGGACACAAUAGGAGAGGCUGCAAAGGGGCACCACCUUCAGUACCUUGUUAGGAUGAAGCUGUCUGGCGUCUGCCAAGUUCACUUAUUAAUUUUUUGGUUUUUGUUUUUGUUAUUUAGUGCACAAAUUGUCUGCAUGUAGUGGUUAUAAUAUAGCAUUUUAGGAACCUUUUUUGGUGUUUAUGUACUGGGAGAAUGUAGCAAGUUCAGGACUUAUGUUGGUUGCACAGUGGAUAUUUUGCACAUUUG